GGGAAGGAGGUCACAAAGAGAUUGAGGGAGGGACCAACAAGAGCAGGAGGGGAAAUGAGUGAGCAUUUGGCUUUUUCUGUCAGCUGAGGCCAGCGCUGGGAGACUACAGCCGCAAACUGUUCAAUUCUGUGGAAGUUUUUUGUUGAGACACCGGGAUGGUGUGAAAAAAAGACAAGGAAUUCCUUCAAGCUGAUUCCAGGGUACAAUCAUGGAGGAAAUGGACUUUGAGCGUCGCCGGGAGCUGAGGAGACAGAAGCGCGAGGAGAUGCGCCUGGAAGCAGAACGGAUGGCCAAGCAUGAUGAUGAUGAGGAGGAGGCUGCCCGCGAGAGGAGGCGCAGGGCACGCCAGGAGAGGCUGAGGAGCAGGGACAGCGAGGAGCCCUGCAGCCAGCCAGAUAGUCUGGUCAUGACCAACAGCCACAGGUGACCUAAGGGACGACCUUAAUGCCUUUAUUUAUUUAUUAACAUUUAACCACAAUUGCACACAAGCAACCCACUCCAUGCUGCUGUCAGCGGGAUUA
rnacentral:lncRNA from 1 species